rnacentral:lncRNA from 1 species
UAUUACUACUAAGUACUAAUUAACCUUAAAUUAAAUAGACUAUUUUUGUGUUUACGACUUAUUUUUAAAUACUAAAUAAAAUAACAAUAAAAAUAGAAUAUUGAAAUCCUAGAAAAAUUCAAAUAACUCAAAUAAAUAUAUAAAAUAUGCAAAAUUCCUAGGUUGAAGACGUGGCAGGUCAAAAAUUACAUGUCUACAUCAAUCAUAGGUGGAUAAACCGUACUUAUUCUGAACAGUCUAAAUGUAAGAGUCGUCUCAGGUUAUAAUUAAUAAAACAUAGGAUUUUCUCCACCCUGUAAUUUUUUUUUAUUUGAAUUGGGUGUCCGAGUCUUUUCGAGCCCCGACUAAUCCGAAUGUGCACAGGCCCUCGACAAGGAAUUUUCCGCAAGUGCACCACCGUUAAUUCAGGUUUUACCCAGUCCGAUGGCCCUUAGAAAUUGUUUGCACCCGGUGGAUUUUGAAUUUGAAACUUGAAAGGGAGCAAAUCUCAAGGCUCAAGUCAAUUGGCACAAGGCCAACCCUUGAGGGUUUUUCCCCACCCUGUAAAUUAUAAACAUAGGAUUAAAAGAUGGUGUUCUUUAACCCAAACGGAAGGAGAAAAAAAAAAGAUUGAAAAAGGAUGAUGAAGAAAAAACAUGGCUCCCGACCCUAUUAUGAAGGGCUCACUAUUGUACUAGUAGUAAAUUAGAAGAGGACGACCAGAAUACGAGGUUCUUACCCUCAUGUUUAGAGUACGACGGAGUCGGACACCAUUUCAGGCUAGUUGUAUUAAUUCGAAGUAACAAGUUUCAUAAUUUAUACAGAUUCUAUGUUAUUCGUAAAAAUUUAUUAAUACAAACAACUGCAAAUGUCAAUAAACAGUUCCAAGGGAAACAUGAAAAUUGAACUGAAACCAAAACAGCUUAAAAAUGAAGACUUUAGAGUCUAAAUAUCAGCUAAAAAUUUAUUUUAAUGCAAAGAAUUGUACUGAAAAACAAUAUGAAGAUUCAGAACACAAAAAAAAAAAAAAAAAACCACAGGGAGAAAAAAAAAAAAAACAUUUUGGUACUGUCUGACCAAAAUCAUUUGCAGAAACAAAUAAUUAACAUGCUGGCAGCAAUACAAGUUGAAAAAUGACUAUUUCUGAUACCGUCCAAAUUCAAUUUUCCGUGCGAAAAAAUGGAAAUGGCAGGAAAAAGUAACUACACGACUUAAGAACUAAUAAAUUGCCAGUAGGUUGAAUCAAAUGCACCAUAAACCCAAAUCCAUAACCACACAGGCAUACAACACCAUGACAACACCAACUAAAUCUCACACAUGCGCGCGCGUACACAUAGAGACAGAGUGAGAGAGGUGGAAAGGAGCUCACCGGAGAAGCCGCCGACGGCGUUGAAUGACGGGAGAGCGACGACCGGUGUGCGCCCUGAGGGUUUCUUCUAGUGGGUAGCGAUGGUUUUGACGUUUGAGGGUUUAUCGAUCUAGAGUUUUUUCCCAAAUUGUGAGAUUUUUGGUUGAAACUUUUUAUUACUCCGUAAUUUGUG